rnacentral:tRNA from 1 species
GGGGAUUUAGCUCAGCGGUAGAGCGCUUGCCUAGCCUAGCAAGCACAAGGCCCUGGGUUCGGUCCCCAGCUCCA